rnacentral:lncRNA from 1 species
AUGAGCUUUCAUGCGAUUCUGGCUCAUGUCUUGAAUGUGUUGAAUUAUAGUUACACCGAUGGAAACCCGAUACGCACCAGAGAUUUCAAGCUCCAGGCUCAUCUCACUUUCUAUAGGCCAUUCCAGUUGAAGUCGUCUCCAGUGUUCGAGAUUUAUGGUAGUGCAUGUGACCGUCCUUGUGAAGCGCUAGAGAGUGCACUAAUUUAUGCUCUAGCUUAUAUUAAUGAAGUUAUAGGCUUUACAUUGGAAACUUAAGCUAUGUGGCAUAUCUAUAUAAACGAAG